GGUGCACCGCCGACCGAC
rnacentral:snRNA from 1 species